AUGGGGCUCUCCUGGGCAGAAGCUAAGAGCCACCAUUUGUUCACCAUGCGCUCAUUUCCUGUCUCUCUGACAGGCUGCCAUGCUCCAGUUUGUAGGUGUCCAUCCACCUGUGAAGGGCUGAGCCAAGUCCUGGGCAUGGGGCUUCAUCUCCUGUGUCAAUUCAGGCAAGAGGAAGAGAGAGGAGGAAGCUUCCAGAUCCAAGCCAGAGGAGGUGGAUGCAGCACCCAUCGCCCAGAGCUUUGGGGCCUGGCCCAGCCUCUACCUGGCCGAGACACCCAACCCCAACCCCACCCACUUGGGCAUGCAGAAGAGUCUGAGACGGUGCACACUGACCCGCGGCAGAGUUACAGGAGGAUAAAACCCUUGAUUUGCAAUGGCUCUGGCCUCAAUGGGGGAUGCAUGAGGCUGGCUCCUGGAAGGUGUCGGGCCAGUGAUCUUCAAAGCAGGAUCAGUGAAGCGUUCUAGGUGUCUGCACUCUUCAGUAUUCGCACCUGUACUUUACCACUUCUACGCGCUGAGCAGAGGUCUAUGCAUCCAGCAGACCCUCGAACGGGACCCCCAUGUGCAAGCAUGAGACCCUCUGGGGCAGGAGAAGGGCAGGACACACGGCAGCUGGAGGCAGCAGCAAGGACGCAGGUCAAGCCCCAGGGGAACGUGUUCUUGGGGAGCACCCUGGACUGGGAGGGGCAGAGCUCCAGAAGGCACCAGGCUUGAGGGCAAGGAGGGGGUACCGCCAGAGGCAGAGUUUGCCCAGGACCUCUCCUCAUGGGCAGGGCUGCCUGGGUGCAAACAGAAUGUGUGUGGUUUCUCCCAUGAUGUUGCCCAGCUUCCCAAGUCCCCAAGACCAUGCGUCAGGCAGCCCCUGUGGGUGGCCCGCCAGGAUGGUACUGUAAGGCCAACCUCAGAGACACUUUUCUUCCAAACAUAGUGGGGUACAAGACACAGCUAAUCAGACAAAUGAAAAGUAAAUGCUGCCAUCAUGUUAGAGAAAAUUAGCAUUGCUGGGGCCAGGAAAUAAAGCUGACACCCAAGGCAAUGUGUGGAUCGAAGCCCCUGGGAGCAGGCAGAGGGGGCCUGGGGCUCUGAUCCAGGGAGUCAAAGGGGGUGUGUGCCCCGCCAAGGUGGCGAGGGAGUGGCUCCCAACGUACACCAGGGGCAGGGUGGUGCAGUAGGCAGAACCCAGGCAAGCUGUGAGUGCCAUGUCCAGAGGCACUUUCUCAGAAUCUGUGCCUGGGAGGUGGACAGAGGCACCAGGGCUGUGAAACCAGGAGGGGACUGAAUCACCAGUGGGCUUGUUGAUCAACCUUGUGAUGCCCUCCGUGUCUCUGUGAGUCGCAGGCCCCGAGACUGAGCAUGAAGCUUGCUUCUGGGCCCAGGACCCUGUUUGAGCUGCAGAGGGAGCAUGGGAAGAGAGAGAAGGGAGGAAAAUCACGUUCUGAUGGAAAUCACAGGGAGCCUAAACCAACACAGUAAACACGGGAGGAGAAUGAACCACACACAACAGUGAACAACCAUGUUUCAAACACAAACAUGCAAACCGUGAAACACAGCAGCACAUGUCCAGGACACAAGAGUGCAGAUGCUGACGUGUUUCCUGACCAGGGAGAUGAAUAGAUGGCUUCAUGUCACAGAGUCUGUUUCCUCUACUCAUCCAUUAAAAGGGAAAGAAAAGUGAAUAUCACUCAACGGGCACAAAAAUGCCUUUGAAGAAAUCAUUACUCAUUUAUUCUAAAAAAUGUGAACAGAUGAGGGAUAAAAGCCGAUUUCCUUAACCUGACAAAUAUGGAAAACGUAUUUGAGGUUGAAAUUCCAGAAGCAACUCCCAUCAAAGUCAGGAGUGAAGGGAGAAUGUGUUCUGUCUCCUCUAACCUGGCCACGUCCUGGUGGCCACAGCUGCUGGCGAGAGCCAUGAGCGACAGGCAAUCCGCUGGCUGGGGAGUCAGAAAUCCGGUGAUGGUUAUUCGAAGACAACAGGAUUGAAAAUGCGAACAGAUCUGCACACAAUUCACACUCAAGAGAUUAGCUGACAAAGUCACUGGGCACAAGAGCAACGUUAAAAACACAACAGAGCAGGGCGCGGUGGCUCACACCUGCAAUUUCAGCACUUUGGGAGGCCGAGGCAGGUGAAUCACCUGAGGCCGCCGUGGCUCACACCUGCAAUCUCAGCACUUUGGGAGGCCGAGGCAGGUGAAUCACCUGAUGUCAGGAGUUCGAGACCAGCCUGACCAGUGUGGUGAAACCCCAUCUCCACUAAAAAAUACAAAAAUUACCUGGGUGUGGUGGUACAGCCCAUAAUUCCAGCUACUUGGGAGGCUGAAGCACGAGGAUCACUUGAACCCAGGAGGCAAAGGUUGCAGUGAGUUGAGAUCAUGCCACUGCACUCCAGCCUGGGUGACACACCAAGACUCCAUCUCAAAAACAGAAAACAAAACAAAGCAAAACAAAAAACCCCUGAUAGAUUCCUUUCCACUCAUAAGAACCAACUGAAGCAAGCAAUAGAAGAAAAGGUGCCAUCCCCAAUGGCAGCCCAAGCUGCAAAGCUCCCACGAACGGAUCUAGUAAAAGAUGAGCAAUGUCCCUUACAAAAGAAAAUGAUGAGGAAGCCCAUAAAUUAUAACAUUGUCGAAAGACAUAAGGAACCCGCACAUACAUGGAGAGGUCUAUCAUGCUGAUUGACACAGCGUAAAGAUGGCAGCUCUUCUCGGAUGAAUUUAUAAAAUCAAUGCGAUUCCUAUCAGAAUCCCAAAUGAUGUUUAAUGACACUGACAGUGGAUUCUAAAGCUCACCGGAUGAUAAAAAGCCCAGCCCAGGCACACCUGAAGAAGAGUGGCAGUGGGAGCUGCCGUGCGGAGGGUCAGGGUUAUUCCAGGUUCCUGACGAGCCCAGGUGUGUGUCCACAGCCCUGCAGACCCACAGUCCAAGGGGGAGGAGGCAGAGGGCGCAGGCCGACCCUGC
ensembl:lincRNA